UACGUAGGGUGCGAGCGUUAAUCGGAAUUACUGGGCGUAAAGCGUGCGCAGGCGGUUCGUUGUGUCCGUCGUGAAAGCCCCGGGCUUAACCUGGGAACUGCGAUGGAAACUAGCGAGCUGGAGUGUGGCAGAGGGGGGUGGAAUUCCGCGUGUAGCAGUGAAAUGCGUAGAGAUGCGGAGGAACACCGAUGGCGGAAGGCAGCCCCCUGGGUUAACACUGACGCUCAGGCACGAAAGCGUGGGGAGCAAACAGG
rnacentral:rRNA from 1 species